GCCUUUGUAGCCCAAGUGGUAAAGCACUGGACCUGUAAACAAGUGGUCGUGAGUUCAAUCCUCAUAAGGGGAA
rnacentral:tRNA from 1 species